rnacentral:rRNA from 1 species
CGAAGCAACGCGAAGAACCUUACCAGGUCUUGACAUCCCCUGACAACCCAAGAGAUUGGGCGUUCCCCCUUCGGGGGGACAGGGUGACAGGUGGUGCAUGGUUGUCGUCAGCUCGUGUCGUGAGAUGUUGGGUUAAGUCCCGCAACGAGCGCAACCCUCGCCUCUAGUUGCCAGCAUUCGGUUGGGCACUCUAGAGGGACUGCCGGCGGCAAGUCGGAGGAAGGUGGGGAUGACGUCAAAUCAUCAUGCCCCUUAUGACCUGGGCUACACACGUGCUACAAUGGGCGGUACAAAGGGCUGCGAACCCGCGAGGGGGAGCGAAUCCCAAAAAGCCGCUCUCAGUUCGGAUUGCAGGCUGCAACUCGCCUGCAUGAAGCCGGAAUCGCUAGUAAUCGCGGAUCAGCAUGCCGCGGUGAA